AAACUUAAAGGAAUUGACGGGGACCCGCACAAGCGGUGGAUGAUGUGGUUUAAUUCGAUGCAACGCGAAAAACCUUACCCACCUUUGACAUGUACGGAAUCCUGCAGAGACGCAGGAGUGCUCGAAAGAGAGCCGUAACACAGGUGCUGCAUGGCUGUCGUCAGCUCGUGUCGUGAGAUGUUGGGUUAAGUCCCGCAACGAGCGCAACCCUUGCCAUUAGUUGCUACGAAAGGGCACUCUAAUGGGACUGCCGGUGACAAACCGGAGGAAGGUGGGGAUGACGUCAAGUCCUCAUGGCCCUUAUAGGUGGGGCUACACACGUCAUACAAUGGCUGGUACAAAGGGUUGCCAACCCGCGAGGGGGAGCCAAUCCCACAAAGCCAGUCGUAGUCCGGAUCGCAGUCUGCAACUCGACUGCGUGAAGUCGGAAUCGCUAGUAAUCGUGGAUCAGCAUGUCACGGUGAAUACGUUCCCGGGUCUUGUACACACCGCCCGUCACACCAUGGGAGCGGGUUCUGCCAGAAGUAGUUAGCCUAACCGCAAGGAGGGCGAUUACCACGGCAGGGUUCGUGACUGGGGUGAAGUCGUAACAAGGUAGCCGUAUCGGAAGGUGCGGCUGGAUCACCUCCUUUAUG
rnacentral:rRNA from 1 species